UACGUAGGGGGCAAGCGUUGUCCGGAAUCAUUGGGCGUAAAGGGCGCGUAGGCGGUCAGCACAAGUCAGUUGUGAAAUCUCCGGGCUUAACUCGGAAAGGUCAACUGAUACUGUGCGACUAGAGUGCGGAAGGGGCAACUGGAAUUCUCGGUGUAGCGGUGAAAUGCGUAGAUAUCGAGAGGAACACCUGCGGCGAAGGCGGGUUGCUGGGCCGACACUGACGCUGAUGCGCGAAAGCCAGGGGAGCGAACGGG
rnacentral:rRNA from 1 species